UCGAAGAGGUAAGUUGUAGCUUGAACUUCCCCAUUCUUCCAUAGUUCACCUGCAUUCGUUAAGGAAUCAUUUUUAUUUCAGUUAUUCUCCUUCUGAAAUCAAUAGCAGCAGCCACCAAACACCAAACAAUUACAAGGUUAAGCGCAAGAGUAAGAGCUAGUCAAUGAGUUACUGAACUGUAGCAAAGCUUCACUAUCAGGUUGAGUAGCUGCCGAUGGUGAUGAAGUGACGAACGAGACUCUUUUGUCUUAUUAUGUAUUAAUGAACUCUAGGGAUACAUGUCUUCAUACAUGUAAUCAGAACCUUAUUCCGCUGCGUACUCAGAAGUUUUAUGUUAUUUUGGCUAAGUCGGAGUUAUCCGAACUUACUAGUUAUUUGAGUCUAUACGACUAAACCUCCGUUAUAUUAUAAAUAUCCCUUUUGUUAAAAAUGAUGAAAUGCGAUUCUUCCUUGUUUGAUUAUUUCCCUUUCUACCCCGCUUCUAAUCUCCCUCCAUUAGUCACGGUUUCCCCGGCUUAAUUAUCCUUAAUUAGGGCCGG